rnacentral:misc_RNA from 1 species
GAUGAAGAACGUAGCGAAAUGCGAUAAGUAAUGUGAAUUGCAGAAUUCAGUGAAUCAUCGAAUCUUUGAACGCACAUUGCGCCCGCCAGCAUUCUGGCGGGCAUGCCUGUUCGAGCGUCAUUUGUACCCUCAAGCUUUGCUUGGUGUUGGGCGUUUGUCUUUCGAGACUCGCCUUAAAAAGAUUGGCAGCCGGCAUACUGGUUUCGGAGCGCAGCACAAAUUGCGGUCUGUUCCUGAAUGUUGACGUCCAUGAAGCCCCCAUUAUCACUUUUGACCUCGGAUCAGGUAGGGAUACCCGCUGAACUUAAGCAUAUCAAUAAGCGGAGGA